AAUGCAGGAAGUAAAUUCCACAGCUCGCCGUUUUUUGUUUUGACAGCCCGAGCUAAAAAAAUAAACUAAAAUAAAUACCUUCAUCUCUCUUUGCGUUUUAUUUACCGUCAGUAUAACAGUGUUUUGGCGGAGGAGGCGCUCCCUGCACGGUUAACAGUGACGACGCGCGGACUGCGUGGUGAGGUGCUGCGUACUUGAACACCUGCUUACCUGUCCAUGAGUCGCAGUCGGAACCCCCCACCCCGGGGGCAAGGGGCAGCACGAGCCAAACAGAUGGGGCUGCUCCUCGACUUAUCCCCAGAUGGAGGGAUGGAUGAUGGGGGAAAUGAGGAGGAGCUGGAAGCAGAGCUCAUGAGCCUAAUAGGAGGAGGAGGAGGAGGAAGGUCGCCUGGAAAGAAACCUGGAGGCAGAUCUCCUGUUCCCAUGGCUGAAAUAGAGCGGAUGGCGGCUCUCUGUAUGAAAGAUCUGGAUGAUGAUGAAGGAGUGGAUGAAGAUUUGGAAGAUGAUGAGGAUCUGCUGGCCGAGCUGAAUGAGGUGCUGGAGGAUGAUGAUGAGGGGGAAACGCCCAAUCGCGCCCCUCCUGCUGCCCCCCCAGCUGCUCCCAGACCCAGCAUCACUCCCAGCUCCACUCCUGCUACUCCCAGCGGUACGAGUGGGCUGGAGUCCCGCCUAACAGAGCGCAUCGACAUGUAUAAGACGGCCAUUUCCAAUGCCAAGGCCGCAGGGGAGUCCAGCAAAGCUCGGAGAUACGACCGUGGAUUAAAAACACUGCAGUCGAUGCUGGCGUCUGUCAUGAAAGGGAAACCAAUCAACGAGGAGGAGAUUCCUCCUCCCGUCGCUACGGGUGGAAAGCCCAACCUGACCGCUCAGCCUGAGCUAAUCAAAGAGCGGGAGCCGCCGGAACCAGCACUGAUGCCCUCCCCUCCCACCAGUCAGAAACCUCUGAGGGAGGCUCCACCGACAGCCCCAAACGUAAAGCCCCAGCAUCUGACACCGCCACAGAAACCCGCCGCUGCCGUCACUCCAGACACACCCGCCAUCUCCCCCCUCACCCCCUGCCAGCCAAACGCACAGCACUCAGAGAUGAAACAGGCAGUGCUGUCCAGGCAGAGGGAGUAUAAGAUAGCUGCCAUUCAGGCCAAGCAGGGCGGAGACACUGACCUGGCCAAGCGACACUACCUCAUUGCCAAGAAAAUGGACGUACUGGUGGAAACGCUAGACGCAGGAGAGCCAGUAGACCUGAGUGCCCUACCAGCUCCUCCUGGCUCUGCCGUAGCGGCGCACAGCGCUCCCCUUCCUCCCCAGUCCUCCUCCAAACCUGAACCAGCUGCUGCUCCUGCACCAACCCCAGUGGCCACUGCUGACCUCCCGGCCCCCACCAGUAUAGCAGAGGCCCUGCAGCAGAGGAUGGACAAAUACAAAGCGGCAGCAGAGGGAGCCAAGAGCAAAGGAGACGACCGCAAGGCUCGUAUGCACCAGCGCAUUGUCAAGCAAUACCAGGACGCCAUCAGAGCUCACAAAGCUGGACGACCGGUCAACUUGUCCGACCUUCCUGUGCCACCAGGUUGUCCCCCACUCCAGGGCGGUGAGAGCGGCCAGCAGAACUUCAUGGGUGUCCUGGAAACAGCCAUGAAACUGGCCAAUCAGGAUGCAGACGCAGAAGAAGAGGACGGUGCAGAAGAGGUUGCCAAGCCUGCAGCACGUCCGCCGGCCCAGAAAGCCAAAUCUCCAGCUCCUCAGGCCCCUGGGGGCUCCUCAGCUCCUAGUCAAGGAGUAAAACUGGGACCCAAAGCCCAACAGCAAUUGGAUUUCCUGUUGCUACGGCGACAGGCGUUUAUCCGAGCAGCACUUCGCUCCAAGCAAAUGAAGGACAUGACCGGAGCAGCGCAGCACCUCCGACACGCCAAGGGACUGGACGCCAUGAUCACUGCUGCCAAGUCUGGUCUGCCUGUAGAUAUCUCCAAGAUUCCCAGUGCUCCAGUCAGUGAGGAGGACUACUCCCUGUCGCGCUCCCGCACCUCCCCUCUGUCCCCUCGCUCCAGUGAGCAGUACAGCCACCUCAUGGGGCUCCUACGACAGCAGCAUGAGAAAUGUCUGGGCUACUCUCAGCAAUUCACACAAAUGGGCAACGUAGCUGAGACAAUAAAGUUCGAGAAGCUUGCUGACGAGUGCAUGAAGAACAUAGAGAUACUGAAGAAAGCCCACGCCAAAGGCCAACCAGCACCCAAGUACCACACUGAGGAGAGGACCUUCAACACUGUCAAGAUUUACCCCAACCUGACACCUAAUGACAUGAUACUGUACAUCAUCAGGGGCGUUAAUCUACCAACUCCUGCAGGUGUCUCUCCCAGUGACCUGGACGCCAGUGUCAGGUUUGAGUUUCCAUUCCCCAGUGCGGAGGAAGCCCAGAGGGACAAAACCAGCACGGUGAAGAGCACCAACAGUCCAGAGUUUAAAGAGCAGUUCAAACUCAACAUCAACCGUACCCAGCGAAGCUUUAAACGCGUGGUGCAGUCUAAAGGCAUCAAAUUUGAGAUCAUCCACAAAGGGGGGCUGUUUAAGACAGACAAGGUCAUCGGCAACGCUCAGCUGAAGCUGGAGGGUCUAGACAACCAGUGUGACAUCAGAGAUAUUAUAGAGGUGCUGGAUGGACGUAAAGCCACGGGGGGGAAGCUGGAGGUGAGGGUGAAGAUCAGAGAGCCUCUAGGAGGAGUUCAUCUGCAGUCGGUGACGGAGAAGUGGCUGGUUCUCGAUCCCCUCUCCUCCCCCUCUCCUCCAGAGAGACAAAGGGAGCGGGCCCCAUCUCCUCGGUCCAAACCCAGGAGUGACCCCAGCAGCAGGAGCAGUCAUCCCAGCAGCUCUCCCCCUCAGUACAAACUCCACAGCUUCAGCCUCCUGAACUAUGACAAGGAGAGACUGGAGAGAAAGAUUGCAGAAUAUCGAAAGAACCGGCGCGACCCGCCCGCUGACCUGAUCCAUCAACACAAAGAGGUCACACACCGGCUGCAGUGGCAGAAAGCCCACCUGGAGAGAGGCUCUCCCGCUUUGCUGGCAGAGUAUGAAAAUGCCUUGCGACGUUUCGCCCAAGGCCUCGCUGAUUCAGUCAAGAAAUUCUCAAGCCAAGGCAACAGAGAGGCUGCCAGGGAUGCUCUGGGCAGGCUGAAGAUGGUGGAGAAUGAGCUGGAAUCGCUGAAAAGGAAACGCUCCAUGUGAGGGGGAAAAUGAAUAAGGGAUUGGAGAGUUGGCUGGAGUACUGUUAAAUACACACACACACAUACACACACACACACACACACACACACACACUCACACACACACACACACGCACACUCUCACACAUCAGCACACAGACAUGGGUGUUGGGGAAUUAAUUUGCUACAUUGGUAAAUACAUAAUCAGUGCACAAACAUCAGUGGCGCGCACACACAAAAAACACCUGUUCUGCAGUCUCCCACGUACUACACACACACACACACACUGCAGGGACUCCUACAGACACACAAGUGCAGUCUCUCCCCUUCCUUUUCUGUCCUCCUCCUCUUUUCUGUGGUCUCUCCGCCCUCACCUCUUCCCAAAGUUCUCUCUCUCUCUCUUUCUCUCUCUCUCUUUCUCUCUCUCUCUCCCUCUGUCUUACGCUCGCUCUCCAAACGGCUCCUGCAAUGACGACAGAUAGUGCUCAGCUCGACUCUUUCCCAUGAAUUCUAUUUGGCAAACGAUUUUUGUAAGUCACUACUGAGGUAAUUUUUCAGGGCUUGUUCAACACAAAAAAAUUUCUCUUAAGAAACGGCUAUUUGAGGUUACUGAAUUUGUCCUUUUUAAAAGUAGGGAUUAUGAUUAGCCGUGGUGUUUAAAGUGAGAUUUAAGUGCUGCUACCAGCUUGUAAAUAUAUAUUACCCUAUUUGGUAGUGUGUACAUAUGUACAAAAACUAACCCCUUAUAGUUAGAGGUAUUGCCAUUUUAACCAAAUAUGUGGUUGUUGAAAACUAAAUUCACCCCAUCAAAAAUGUUAUAUUAACAUUUGUUUUCAUUUUCUCUAUGUAGAAACUUUUAUAGGAGAAUAAUUCAAGAAAAUUGAUAGCUCAUAGAUUUUCAUAAUGAUAUGAAGAAUUGUAUUUCGCUCACGUAUUUUACCCAGUGUCACAAAAUUUGGAAGACAAAGUGGAAAGUCUUGAUCAGUCCACCUUAGUCAGCUGAAGCCGAUAACAAUACAUGGCUAUAUUUAUACCUCGCCGCUUGUUUGUAUCUUGCUGUUCCCAAUUGUACCGCAUCCUACCACACUUAUAUUCUUAUAGUACAUAUACGUAACCAUGAUACUUCAUUAUCAUAUCAAUGUCCGUCACCACUACCGCAUACUACCGAAUACACUUCAUAGGAAUAAAAAUUCUUGGCAGGGGAAUUGGUGUCAUUUUUGCCAUAACAGCUUCUGUUUGGAGCUUAGAUGUCUGUUUUAUCAGCUGUAUUUCUGCGAUAGACAUCUGCAUUAACGGAAUAAUUCACCCCAAAUUUAAAAAUAUGUGUACACACCCCAGUGUCAGUCAAAACUGCAUUGAUGUUUGUAGGACUACCAAACACACAGAGAGUCAGCUCCUGUUGUUAUAGCGGUCACAGACUGAAGUGAAAGUUUGCGGUCUUUUCACUUGUGCAGCAAGUGUUUUGUAGCCAAACAAUUGUAUUGUGGGUGCAGAGGUCUAAUAUUGACUUUAUUCAAUGUGUUUACAUGCACUUUUUUAAUCAAGUUAUUCCCUUGUUAUGGUGGUUAGCUGAUUUCUUAAAUGCCAUGUAAACAAAAAGCUGGGCUUCCUUAGUUAGGUCAAGAGAAACCCGGUUAACACAGCUAGAUUUCUACUAGAGAAACCCAGUUACUAGGACACGACAACUCUUACUUGGAUUUCUGAGUGUUUUUGUUUUUUGUGUUUCUUUCACAUGUGCAUAUGUGCAGGAAAAGAUCUUAAAAAUUGACCCACCUUGUCUGGGUGGUUGUGCACACCCAGACAAGCAAAAUCCUUUGGGCCUACUGACGUGAUUCUUUGGCUACAAAACAUUUGAUUCUGCUGCAUCGUUUGGCCCUGUUGAAACUACAGUCAUUGAAACCCCAAAUCAGAACCAUUAAGACUCAACUGACACAAAUGCAGGACAAGCUCAUAAUUUAUUAAGGACUCUGGAUGACUGGUACCCAUUUUCCACCAAAACUUCUUAGGCUAAAGUUUUUGGGUUUUGCUCUUGGAAGGAAGUUCUGGGGGCAAAGUGAGGACACUAGGCUCUUGUGUUUUUGUGUUUCCACUACGAGAUCACUUAAUGCAAAUAAGGAAGACGUGUCAAGUCAUUCUGUGUGCAGCUGCCAACAGCAAUAGAAAAGUUGUCAUGUUUGUGAUUAUUUACCUCUUUGCCGCUAUGAUGCUGCAUUGGUUUUGGUGAAGAGAUGCACAGAGGUUGAAAAUGAGAUUGGGGGUGCCAGAAAAGCAAGAACUGAAUAGAGAAAGCUGCUUUAAUGUAAUGUAGAGAAACUGUGACAUGACAAACGGAGCUGAACGAAAUGAUUUACUCUCAAUUACUAGGUGAAUAAUGUCUUGAUGGAACAAUCUUUUAAUAAUUUGUGUUUGUGGUUGUUCGCUCCUGUUACUUUCACGCUGCGAUUAUCAAACGUUCAACCAAUCAGGGAUGUUCAGCACUUAAAACUCCAGGGAUCAGGAGAGUGCUGCCCUGGUGCAGGGACCAUUUUGGGGAUCAGGAACUCAGAGAGGGACUCCAGUGGAAAUAGGGGUAAGAGUUCCUGCUUCCUCGAAAGGGUUCCUGUGUUUUGGGGACAGUUUCUGCAGUGAAAAGUGGACGCGUGAAAACCGUGCAUACUCAGCCAUCAGUCCAUGCAUUCAUCACUUGAGUCUAAAUGGUCCUCGUGUUAAUCGUCCCCUGGUGAUCAUUGGUUUAGUCUUAGCUGGGCCUGCUGUGUGUACUCUAACUUUAAUGGAGUUUUGAUUGACAUCAGCGAGUAGAUAGUGAUUGAUUUUUCGUUCCGGGGGGGUGAACUGUUUCUUUAAGAUUGGCAGGGUGUUUGCCAUUCUGCAUCGUCUCCCCGUAAAAAUUGCUCUCUGACUCCAUCUGAAGAUGUAUGACGGUGUGAUGACACCAACCGUGAGAAUGUAAUAACUCAGCUCUGAUGAAAUUGUGGUUACUUUUUGAUAAGGCUGCCAUCAAGCUACACAGUUACUUAUUGCCUUGGUGCUCUGUUUAGAAUGUCACUGACUGUUUGGAUAAUUCCCUCUUCCCGACUGGCAAGCUGUUUUAUCGGAGACCGGCAUGCACCCACGAGUCUAGUCCCAUGAGAUCAGGGGUCAUGCGCAUAGACAGGAGGCGAUGAUCAGAGACCGUCGUAUCUAAUGAAGUCCCUGUGGCGAUGGGAGCUGAUCGCGAAACGCUAAGAGGCUUUAUCCAAAAGUCCUGGAUGUCCAGAUUGAUAUGAGACAUGCCUACUCACUGUACUGAAUGUCACAGGCCCGCACUCAGGGCCCACACUGCUCACUGCCUUACACAGCCAGCAAGUACAGCACUUAAUCCAGCUCACAACAUUAGACCCACAGCUAGCUCGUGUCAUGACACUGCUGUCGGCGGUGUUUAUCUGUGAGCUAGCACGCCACCAGGAGAGACAACAGCCCCUCGGUCCUUCCACCCCCGGCCAACCUUUCCCCCCCAGCCCCUCUUAGACCACACAUGCUGCCCUUGUGGGUUUUAACCACUCAAAUGUCUCUUGAUGACAAAAUAUACAUCCACCUUUCUACUCCACAUGUGUUUUCUUGUGUUUUGAAGCCACCCUCGGGACUGCUGUGAGGUCCAGAGAACACAAUCUAGAUAUAAGCUUAAAGUAAAAAUAAUAAAAAAAAUAAAAAUAAAAAAACGAGUUACAGGAUCCAUAGUGUCAUUGUCCAGUCCAUAUCCUUGAAGUGCUGUAAAAUAGACCCACCUCUCCCUCACCAUUCUUCACUUCAAACCUCCCGUCUUCCUUCUCCGUUCCUUUCCUUUUUCUCCCCCCCCCCCGACCCUCCGUUCGCGUAUCGCCCUCUGACUCACGACAGUGUCACACACAAGGGUGAAAUACACUCGUGCUUUAUGUUUUGCGUUUUUUUUCCUCUUGUUUCUUUCGUUUUGAUUAAGGAGAUCAAUCUAAUUUGGGGGCAGGUUUAGACAAUGUUCCAGAAAUAUGUAGCAACUUUCGUGGCUGUCAGACCUGCAAGUCGUUUCUUUCUAAAAACAUAAGAGGUACGAGAUUUCUGUUUUUUGUCUGUACAAUAUAAUAUCUCUUUCGGCUGUGAUUUAUUGGUUUAUUUCAUGACAUUGUGAUUUCUAGUGGUUAAGCAAAUGGUUUAGUACGCCACACUGGGGAGGCCUCCUUACCCACACACACUCCCUCUCCGUCUGCCCACACACAGUCAAACACAGACGAGCAAGUUGCACGCCAGGACGGCAGAUUGCAAAAUUAAAAGUGGGCAAAAAAAAAAUUCUCCAGAUCUCACAGUUUAUAUUCAAAUCUUGAGCCCAGAGUGACAAAUAUUUGUGACGGUGUUUUCAAUUUGCCAAAGCAGAGUAGAUUCAUAUUGGAUAGUGUUAAAGUGCAACAGACUUGUUUCUGCGUUUCCAAACUAAACUAUCCACCUUAUUUUGGACUACGGAAGUGAACAGCUGGUCGAACUUCUGCUUGGCUUUUUUUGUGUGCCGCAUUUUCAUUUGAUCACUUUUUGAUCACAUUUGACGAUGUUGUGGGAGCACUUCCAGAAAUCAAUCAGCUGUUGCUCUAGCUGCUGUAGUGAAAAGUGAAUCAGCUAAUCAAUGACUAGCAGUCUAACACACACAAAAAACAGUAAAGUGGCUGCAUCCAUAUUUCCGUUUAAAAAUAAGCUGAAUACUAAAAGGUGUCCCAUGAAGCUCAGCGCAAGACAUGCCUAAUGAUCAGGUGCCAAAAUGCAACGCUUGUCACUAUUUACCCACUUUGUUUUCUUCAUGAUAGUCGGCUGCUGGCGUGUCGCCCUGUGGUCAGUGUGGCCAAGUCAUUUAACAAGGAAGGAGUGUUGUUCGGACGGCCUCUUUAAGUGCAAGUAUGUUAUUGUUCUUAUCGAUAAUCACUUGAUCUGGGUUUAGUUUUGUAACAUGUGGAGAUAGUUCAAAAUGUUUUUUUUUUAUAUAUAUAUGUAUAUGAAUAUAAUGCUGUAAAGCGCAGUCAUGAAUUAAGAGAUUUCUCUUUCACAUCAAUACAAUAAAGAAGAGGGAAUAAAACCA